CACGUAGGGUGCGAGCGUUGUCCGGAAUUAUUGGGCGUAAAGAGCUCGUAGGCGGUGUGUCGCGUCGGCCGUGAAAACCUGCAGCUUAACUGUGGGCUUGCGGUCGAUACGGGCAUCACUGGAGUUCGGCAGGGGAGACUGGAAUUCCUGGUGUAGCGGUGAAAUGCGCAGAUAUCGGGAAGAACACCCGUGGCGAAGGCGGCUCUCUGGGACGGUACUGACGCUGAGACGCGAAAAGCGUGGGGAGCGAACAGG
rnacentral:rRNA from 1 species